GAAGAAUAUAGCUCCAGGAGCAUACUAGAGAAGAGAAGGUAUGUUCUUGCAAAGAAAGAAGGAAGUAGGAGGGCCAAUGGAAGAUGUGAUCGACGGGAUCAAAUCCCUAGCGCUCUCAAUUCCCAAAAUCAGGUCUGGCAUCUCCAUCUCCUCUCUCCCCCGCCUCCUUCUCCACCUCCGGCCGCCGUCGCGGCCAGGCCGGCGUGGCUGCGCGCCAUCACGCCAUCACCAGCAUCCACCAGCGCCACCAGCAACUCCCCACGCCUCCACCAGCGCCACCAGCAACUCCCCAAGCCUCCACCAGCGCCGCCCCCACCAGUGUUGCCAGCUGCCAGCGCCCAUCUCGCGCGCCCCUUCGGACACGGGCGCGGCGGUGUCUGGCUGCCCGCACGACCCAGCACCAGCGCCUCCGCACACCAUCCAUCCAUUCGAUGCACUGCAACCCAUCCACCAUCACUACCACGAGCCCCUUGCUGCACCUCACGCCACCAAUCUAAAUCUCUUCUUCCAAAUCUUGCUAUUGUUCUUCCAAAUCUUGCUGCUAUUCAUCAUUGGUACUGCCCGCAGUUCUCUUCUCUCCAACCUUCAUCUCCUCACACCCACGCUCCUGCUCCUUCUCUCUUUCUCUCCCUGCCGCCCCACUGCUGCUCCUCUUCUCUCUCAAUGAUUGUUGCUGCUGAUGCCCGCAACCUCCUGUUGCUGCUCCUUCCACGCCCAAGCUGCUGCUCUUCUCUCAACCCCACGUUGCUGCUCCAUCUCUCUACUUCCUUUGCUCCCCUUCUUCUUCUCUGAACUCAAACUGCUGUCGCGUCUCUUCUCUCUUUAAUUCUUGCAAAUUUCUGUAAAGGUGAACCUUGUGUACUGUUCUAAACACCCAAUUUGUGCUUAUUUUAUGUAUGUAUCAGUGUCUGCAAUAUAUGUGAAACUGUGAGUUGUUGAGCCGAUCAUUUCCGAGUAGACUUGUACUGUCAUAUAUUGUGAGUCAUAUAUAUUUAUAAAUUCGUGAGUGUGGUUAAUUCUAGUAACUGUGGUGUUGCAUAUUUGUGGAUCUCAUGUACAUGUUUUAACCUAUGAAUUCCAUUGCUAUAGAACUCAAUGCUGCUCUACAUCAUCUUAAAUGUCCUUUUGUGAAAUCCUGUACUAUAAUGUUUUUGCCCCUUAUCCUUUAGGCUUGCCUGUGUUAGUAUUUUAAUUUCUUAAGCAAAACGAAAAUACCAAAAAGACGAUGAUUGAAAUCUCAACCUUCCUAUGCUUGUUUGUUUUUCUUUGUCGACAAUUUUCCAAAAUGAUAGUUUAGGUUUAUUUCCCUGUAAUCAUCACUUGAAUUGUGUUAACUAGAUUUAGCCGAGUAUAGUUGCUAUUGCCUAGUCCCUGUGGAGAACUUCAACAACCCACUGUUUGGACGUAAACCUCACUGUAUUUACAACUGAUCAUUUUGGCGCCAUUGCUGGGGAUUAGCGUCGAGCGAUUGUGUUAGGCUAUAUAUAGAUUAGGUUUUUCUUGUUUUAUUUUUGUGACAUUUAUAUGUGAUAUAUAUCUAACCCCUAACCACUGUUCUAGUUAUUUUCUCUUUCUUUUCUUGUUCGUUUUGUAGGUUGGACUGUCUUCUUGGAAAUGGCAUUCUACUUAGAUCAUUAUGUUUAUGUGAGAAAUAGCAUGGAAAGUGUUCAAGACAUGAUAAGUAAGAUUUCCCAUCAAUUAGUCAUGAUACUUAUCCUAGAGGCCAUCCUUAUGUUGAUCCUACAUGCCAUAUUUGUGGAUUUCAGGGCCAUUCACAUGCUCAUUGUCAGCGUGGUUACUCUCACCCUCCAGGUUGUUUUGGCAUGAGCUUCGCUCAAGAGCAUAACUCAUACCAAAACAAUUACUCACAUGGGUGGUCUGAAAACCUGAAUAUGUCAUAUAGGAGCAACAACCCUGAGAUCUCAUCAUUUGCCUCUAGUUAUCCAAUGCAGGGAUUUAGGUAUGAAGAGGAGAGCAACAAUUAUGCACCACAAUUAUUCAGCUCCUAUUCAUGUACCUCAACACUUAGAGAUAUGCCCGUUGGAGUUAAAUGGUCCUCCAUUUGGUCAACGAAUUACUCCAGCACCAAAUGAGGCGUUAGAGCAAUCUCAUGUGCAAGUGCCCACACAAGAUGAGUUCGCUGACAUAGAACACAUUUGAGUCUCGAGUUCACUUGGAGUGCUAAGGAUGAUCCUAUUAGGAAGGUUAUACUAGAGAAAAUGAAGAAGAUUAAGAGUGGAAAAGAGCUAGUGGAAGAAGUAAGGAAGAUAGAGAAGAAUAUGAAUGUUGGAAGUACUAUCUCAUCACUACUCGAGCUGAGUGUUUUCUGGGAUUCCCCUUGAUACAUGUGAGGUUCCAACACCGUCACAUCCAGCUGAGCAAGAUAGCAAGAGCCCAGAGGAAGAAAGACCUCAGAUUGAAGAAUAAAUACUCGAAGACAAGGAACAAGAUGAUCCAGAGCUGGAAUUCCCAAGUGAUGAAGAUGAAGACAAAAGAUCUACUACUCUUGAAGAAGUAAAAGAAGUUGUUGUAGUUGAAGAUGAAGAAUUAGAGAUUCAAUUGCCUAUCAUCAUUCAAGAGUGUGAUAUUGCAGGUUUAUCUAAUCCUCUUGAUGACAUGCGUCCGUAUAAUCUAUUUGCUACUACCUUGCAUUACAUGAUACCAUCACUUAAGAUUGAUUUGAAAGCUCAUUUGCUUGGAUAUGAUGAUACAUACACUGUUGGUGGCAUUGCUCUCAUUUAUGAUGAUGACAUUUAUUCUCCUCAUGCUAGACCUAUGCUUAAUGAUAAAUAUCAUCCUCAUGUUAGUAUUGAGCUUGCUGAUUCCUAUCAUACUCGUCAUGUUCUAUAUUCCUAUGCUUAUGUAAUUGGAUACUCGAUUGACGACUUAGAGGGCUUCGACCAUAUCACUUGUAGUCGUUGUUUGCGUGAGUCAUAUUUCAGGUUUUUGCUUGUGCACGAAUCAAUAGAUGCUGACUAGGUUCGAGGUGACAUCGCUUGGGAUCCCAGUGGAGUUAGAGCAUGGCGAUGAGAAGCAGUGGGGCACACAUAUGGAAGAGUGAAGCUGGAGCUUGCAUGUAGAAGCAAAAGGAGAAGAGCUACAGUUCAUAGAGUGAUUGUGCGAGACCUACAUCAUAUAAGUCGGAUGUCGGAGCCCAGGAGCCAGAUGCCACCGUCGAUGCCUACUACUACGUGGAGACCGCCGACGAUCAGGAGUAGUUAGGAGGCUCCUAAGCAGGAGGCCUUGCCUUUUCGAUCAAUGUUGCUUUUGUGCUAGCCUUCUUAAGGCAAACUUGUCUAACUUAUGUCUGUACUCAGAUAUUGUUGCUUCCGCUGACUCUUGUGUAUUCGAGCUUAUGUAUUCGAGCCCUCGAGGCCCCUGGCUUGUAAUAUAAAGCUUGUAUUAUUUUAAUUUGUGUCUAGAGUUGUAUUGUGAUAUCUUCCCGUGAGUCCUUAAUCUUG
rnacentral:rRNA from 1 species